rnacentral:rRNA from 1 species
GAAGGGUGCAAGCGUUACUCGGAAUUACUGGGCGUAAAGCGUGCGUAGGUGGUUUGUUAAGUCUGAUGUGAAAGCCCUGGGCUCAACCUGGGAAUUGCAUUGGAUACUGGCAGGCUAGAGUGCGGUAGAGGAUGGCGGAAUUCCCGGUGUAGCAGUGAAAUGCGUAGAGAUCGGGAGGAACAUCUGUGGCGAAGGCGGCCAUCUGGACCAGCACUGACACUGAGGCACGAAAGCGUGGGGAGCAAACAGGAUUAGACACCCUGGUAGUCCACGCCCUAAACGAUGCGAACUGGAUGUUGGGAGCAAUUAGGCUCUCAGUAUCGAAGCUAACGCGUUAAGUUCGCCGCCUGGGGAGUACGGUCGCAAGACUG